CGGCGAGUGAAGCGGUAACAGCUCAAAUUUGAAAGCUAGCUCUUUUAGGGUUCGCAUUGUAAUUUGUAGAAGAUGCUUCGGGUGUGGCCCCGGUCUAAGUUCCUUGGAACAGGACGUCAUAGAGGGUGAGAAUCCCGUAUGUGACUGGGUGCUUUCGCUCAUGUGAAGCUCUUUCGACGAGUCGAGUUGUUUGGGAAUGCAGCUCAAAAUGGGUGGUAAAUUUCAUCUAAAGCUAAAUAUUGGCCAGAGACCGAUAGCGCACAAGUAGAGUGAUCGAAAGAUGAAAAGCACUUUGGAAAGAGAGUUAAACAGUACGUGAAAUUGUUGAAAGGGAAGCGCUUGCAACCAGACUUGCGCGCUGAUGAUCAUCCGGGCUUCUGUCCGGUGCACUCGUCUGCGCUCAGGCCAGCAUCGGUUUCGGUGGUGGGAUAAAGGCCUUGGGAAUGUAGCUCCUCUCGGGGAGUGUUAUAGCCCUCGGUGCAAUGCCGCCUACCGGGACCGAGGACCGCGCUUCGGCUAGGAUGCUGGCGUAAUGGUUGUAAGCGACCCGUCUUGAAACACGGACCAAGGAGUCUAACAUCUAUGCGAGUGUUUGGGUGUCAAACCCAUACGCGUAAUGAAAGUGAACGGAGGUGAGAACCCUUAAGGGUGCAUCAUCGACCGGUCCUGAUGUCUUCGGAUGGAUCUGAGUAAGAGCAUAGCUGUUGGGACCCGAAAGAUGGUGAACUAUGCGUGAAUAGGGUGAAGCCAGAGGAAACUCUGGUGGAGGCUCGCAGCGGUUCUGACGUGCAAAUCGAUCG
rnacentral:rRNA from 1 species